rnacentral:lncRNA from 1 species
UCCAAGCUCAGCUUUUGUGGUACUGAGGAUGGAAUCCAGGCUUUCAUGCGUGCUAGUUAAGCAUUCUAGCAAAAGUGCUACAUUCCCAGCCUACUUAUGCCCAAUAUAAAUAUCAGUAAGUUUCCAGUUCAAUAUUAGAUUUAUUUAUGAAAUCCAAAAUGCUCCACCAUCCAGAUACCAGCUCCUCAGCCAAACCCCGCCCUCUAUCCCAGCAAUGGGAAGGUGGGGGCAUGGCUACCUUAUGCCAGCCUCUUUGAUGUUCUCUUUGAAACACCUGCAACUUUUUCUUCAAGAUUCCUCUUCUCCCGUGAGAAAGGUCCUCCUUGUCUACCCCAGGAGCCCUAGGUGCCCUCUGAGGCAUAGGUCUCCGCCCACCCCUGUGGCCUUAAUGACUGCGCACAGUCGAUGCUCCGAAAGUGUUUCUUGAAAGGCCAGAUAGGACGCCAGGAGACCGUCCCCCAGGCGCGCUGCACGCCUGGCUGGCCGCCGCACCCCGAUCCUGGUCAGAGCCUCU